GCCCAAGUAGAAGAACUGGUAUAUUCAGCAGGCUCAAACCCUGCCGGUCAUUGACCACUGUGGGUUCGAAUCCCACCUUGGGUACCA
rnacentral:tRNA from 1 species